rnacentral:lncRNA from 1 species
UAGCCAGGCGGAGACUCUUAGUAGUUGGCCUUGUAAGACUGGCGAGUAAUCCCCUGGUUUUGUUCUCUUCUUGCACCACUUCUGCAUUCCAGUGCAUCUCCUUUCCUACAGCUUGUUCUAAAAAUAGUUCCAAGGAGCUAGCUAGCUCCUGAAACACACACACAGAUUACACACAACACACAGAGCAUACACGGUACAUGCACAGAACACACAAAAUAGCACAGACAACACACCACGGAGCAUACACAACACAUAGAACAGAGUACACACAGAGAGAGAGAGAGAGAGAGCACAGACAACACACACAGCACACACACAGAGCACAGACAACACACAGAACAGCACAUACACAGCACAGCACAUACACACAGAACAGAGCACAGACAACACAUACACAGCACACACAGAGCACAUGCUUACAUUCUUUUCCAGAAAGAUUUUCAAGCUACAUUCUGUAUUGAUCAAAUACAAGCUGUGCAGAUGAGAAAUAUUGGCAGCUGAGAAGUGUGCUGCUGUAACUGGAGUUGAGUCUUCCUGGGGUCACCUGGCUUCACCCUCUGAAGAUGCACAGGGGUGGUUUGCCACUAUCUGCUGUCUACACUGCUGUCACCC